rnacentral:rRNA from 1 species
AUUGAACGCUGGCGGCAUGCCUUACACAUGCAAGUCGAACGGUAACAGGUCUUCGGAUGCUGACGAGUGGCGAACGGGUGAGUAAUACAUCGGAACGUGCCUAGUAGUGGGGGAUAACUACUCGAAAGAGUGGCUAAUACCGCAUGAGAUCUACGGACGAAAGCAGGGGAUCGCAAGACCUUGUGCUACUAGAGCGGCCGAUGGCAGAUUAGGUAGUAGGUGGGAUAAAAGCUUACAAAGCCGAGGAUCUGUAGCUGGUCUGAGAGGACGAUCAGCCACACUGGGACGGGGCCACGGCACAGACUCGUACGGGAGGCAGCAGUGGGGAAUGUUGGACAAUGGGCGCAGGCCUGAUCCAGCAAUGCCGCGGGCAGGAUGAAGGCCUUCGGGUUGUAAACUGCUUUUGUACGGAACGAAAAGCCCCGGGUUAAUACCCUGGGGUCAUGACGGUACCGUAAGAAUAAGCACCGGCUAACUACGUGCCAGCCGCCGCAGUAA